rnacentral:rRNA from 1 species
AGGAAUCUGCCUGGUAGUGGGGGACAACGUUUCGAAAGGAACGCUAAUACCGCAUACGUCCUACGGGAGAAAGCAGGGGACCUUCGGGCCUUGCGCUAUCAGAUGAGCCUAGGUCGGAUUAGCUAGUUGGUGAGGUAACGGCUCACCAAGGCGACGAUCCGUAACUGGUCUGAGAGGAUGAUCAGUCACACUGGAACUGAGACACGGUCCAGACUCCUACGGGAGGCAGCAGUGGGGAAUAUUGGACAAUGGGCGAAAGCCUGAUCCAGCCAUGCCGCGUGUGUGAAGAAGGUCUUCGGAUUGUAAAGCACUUUAAGUUGGGAGGAAGGGCAGUAAGUUAAUACCUUGCUGUUUUGACGUUACCGACAGAAUAAGCACCGGCUAACUUCGUGCCAGCAGCCGCGGUAAUACGAAGGGUGCAAGCGUUAAUCGGAAUUACUGGGCGUAAAGCGCGCGUAGGUGGUUCAGCAAGUUGGAUGUGAAAGCCCCGGGCUCAACCUGGGAACUGCAUCCAAACUACUGAGCUAGAGUACGGUAGAGGGUGGUGGAAUUUCCUGUGUAGCGGUGAAAUGCGUAGAU